CCAGUAACCAUGGAAACGGCGGUUCCAGCUCUUUCCAGCUCAUUGACCAGCUCCUCCCGUGAAGUUCUGGGCUGUCCUCACCUUUCUUAGGGUCACUGAGACCCCACCAGACAGAGAGAGGAACGAGGGAGUUCUUCAUGGAUUAUGGAGGAACGAGGGAGAUCUUCAUGGAUUAACGAGGAAAAAGAAAGUGGUGGCAGAGGAAGAGGCAGCCAAAGACUCUUCAUCAUGACUCCAUCCAGCUGCUGCUAUUUCCACCAUCGUGACUCUGAGUCCAGACGCCAAAAGCCGUUGUUAUAACUACGGUGGCCCGGAGUGGUUCAGGGCUGCUGGGAGUUUCCACUGAGGAGUUCCUGGUGGGGGGCCAACCCCUCACCAGAACCAGGUUACAGUGUCCAAAAUGAACACUCCACCAAAUAAAACCACAUUUACCGUUUAAGGAGUAAAGUCUUGAGCAAC